UUCUGUUGUCAUUGUUCUCAGUAGCUUUAGCUGAAUAUGUCGAUGUCAGGGUUCGAGGAGUGGUUUCGAUAGCUAGCACAGAUGACAAUUUCAUAUGUGCAACCCUGGAUUGGUGGCCAACUGAUAAAUGUGAUUACAAUCAAUGUCCUUGGGGAAAAGCUGGAAUUUUUAAUCUGGAUUUGAAGAACAAGACCUUGAUCAAUGCAGUAAAGGCAUUCAAUACAAUAAGGAUCAGAAUUGGACGUUCAUUGCAAG